rnacentral:rRNA from 1 species
UACGUAGGGGGCAAGCGUUGUCCGGAUUCAUUGGGCGUAAAGAGCGUGUAGGCGGCCAGGUAGGUCGGUUGUGAAAACUGGAGGCUCAACCUUCAGAGGUCGACCGAAACCAUCUGGCUAGAGUCCGGGAGAGGAGAGUGGAAUUCCUGGUGUAGCGGUGAAAUGCGCAGAUAUCAGGAGGAACACCUGCGGUGUAGACGGCUUACUGGACCAUAACUGACGCUGAGGCACGAAAGCGUGGGUAGCAAACAGG